GAUGAACGCUGGCGGCGUGCCUAAUACAUGCAAGUCGAGCGAACAGACGAGGAGCUUGCUCCUCUGACGUUAGCGGCGGACGGGUGAGUAACACGUGGAUAACCUACCUAUAAGACUGGGAUAACUUCGGGAACCCGGAGCUAAUACCGGAUAAUAUAUUGAACCGCAUGGUUCAAUAGUGAAAGACGGUUUUGCUGUCACUUAUAGAUGGAUCCGCGCCGCAUUAGCUAGUUGGUAAGGUAACGGCUUACCAAGGCAACGAUGCGUAGCCGACCUGAGAGGGUGAUCGGCCACACUGGAACUGAGACACGGUCCAGACUCCUACGGGAGGCAGCAGUAGGGAAUCUUCCGCAAUGGGCGAAAGCCUGACGGAGCAACGCCGCGUGAGUGAUGAAGGUCUUCGGAUCGUAAAACUCUGUUAUUAGGGAAGAACAAAUGUGUAAGUAACUAUGCACGUCUUGACGGUACCUAAUCAGAAAGCCACGGCUAACUACGUG
rnacentral:rRNA from 1 species